AUUGAACGCUGGCGGCAGGCUUAACACAUGCAAGUCGAGCGAGCGGCGGACGGGUGAGUAAUGUAUGGGAAACUGCCUGAUGGAGGGGGAUAACUACUGGAAACUGUAGCUAAUACCGUAUACCAUCACCUGUGCCCAGAUGGGAUUGGCUAGUAGGUGGGGUAAUGGCUCACCUAGGCGCCGAACCCUAGCUGGUCUGAGAGGAUGACCAGCCACCCUGGAACUGAGACACGGUCCAGACUCCUACGGGAGGCAGCAGUGGGGACUAUUGCACAAUGGGCGCAAGCCUGAUGCAGCCAUGCCGCGUGUGUGAAGAAGGCCUUCGGGUUGUAAAGCACUUUCAGCGAGGAGGCGUUACUCGCAGAAGAAGCACCGGCUAACUCCGUGCCAGCAGCCGCGGUAAUAC
rnacentral:rRNA from 1 species